UCGAGAAUCUUCCGCAAUGGACGCAAGUCUGACGGAGCGACGCCGCGUGCGGGAUGAAGGCCUUCGGGUUGUAAACCGCUGUCAGUUGGGAGGAAAUGCAUAGGGGCACUCUCCUAUGUUUGACCGAUCUUCAGAGGAAGUCCGGGCUAAGUUCGUGCCAGCAGCCGCGGUAAGACGAACCGGACGAACGUUAUUCGGAAUCACUGGGCUUAAAGAGUGCGUAGGCGGCCUUGUAGGUUGGGUGUGAAAUCCCACAGCUCAACUGUGGAACUGCGCUCAAAACCACAAGGCUAGAGGAAGGUAGAGGUAAGCGGAACUGAUGGUGGAGCGGUGAAAUGCGUUGAUAUCAUCAGGAACACCAGUGGCGAAGGCGGCUUACUGGGCCUUUUCUGACGCUGAGGCACGAAAGCUAGGGUAGCGAACGGGAUUAGAUACCCCCGUAGUCC
rnacentral:rRNA from 1 species